UCGAAAUUCUCUCUAAUUCCGAUAUUCCUUUUAAAAGAUAGUUAAAUGAUUUAGAUUUAUAGUUAACACAUUUCCAUUGAAGAUAGUAAUGAACAAUUCCAGUCAUUUUGAGCUUGAAUAAUUUUAUGUUUAAGAUAGGUAUCGUUAAGUUUAGAAGAUCAUUGAAAUAAGAUGUGUAUUUAAAUUAGAGAAGAGAUUACGUUUGAUUAACAAAAUGAAGCGUUUUGUGUUUAACUAAUAGACAAUUCGACACGGUUGAUGACAUUCCAUGGAGGUGUACAAUCAGAACACCACAGAAGAUCACCUGAUAGCAGACUAGCCUAUCGCAGUUUCAGACGAAGAUCUAUGAAUUGUGAGAAUGGAUGAUUAGCAGAGCAUAGCAGAGUUUAAACCGUGAUGAGCAAUAACGAUCUUGAUGAACAAUUACUGAUUUUGAUGAACCAGACUGAUAGACUCUGGGAAAGUCGGAGGGAGUUAAGAGGGAGAGAGAUCGGAGAUCCGAUGUCUUUCUCGGGUCAGUGCAGUCUUAUAAGUUUGUUUCAUAGCAGUGCUUAUAACAGAGUCCAGUAUGCCGGUUCCAUCCGGAUGCUUUAAUCUUUCCAGUCAUAAGUAUUCCAGUUGCUCUGAACCGACACAUCGUGUAGUUUACCGGGCAAGUCUUCCAUUCCAUAAUCUAAAGAACCGUGACUAAGUUUCCGGGUAGAAGUAAGCUAACGACGAUAAGAUUCCCGAUCUCCCUCUCACUUGAAGGACCAUUAUACGGAUUGAAGUUGUUCUUGAGGUCAAUAGACCCGAAUCUUCCUACUCAGAACGUGCUGCCUUUGCCGAUACCUGCUAGAUUAAUUGAUUCUCCGUCGUCAACCGAGACCAUUCGUGACAGUCAAACUGUUGACGGUGAGACUCAGUCAAAGACGCGUGAUAUUCCAGCCCUCCUACACUAUUUCUUAGAGAGAGACAUAUCAAAAGGUGAUUGCACCAACAUAUACUUAGAGUUCCUUUAAAUAGGUUAUGAGAAGAAUUUCUACCGUUUCAAUUA